rnacentral:rRNA from 1 species
GUAGUCUGCAACCCGACUACAUGAAGCCGGAAUCGCUAGUAAUCGCGGAUCAGAAUGCCGCGGUGAAUACGUUCCCGGGUCUUGUACACACCGCCCGUCACACCAUGGGAGUCGGAAAUGCCCGAAGUCAGUGGCCCAACCGGAAGGGGGGAGCUGCCGAAGGCAGGUUCGAUGACUGGGGUGAAGUCGUAACAAGGUAUC